rnacentral:tRNA from 1 species
GGAGAGAUGGCUGAGUGGUCGAAGGCGUUCGAUUCGAAAUCGAAAGUACCUUGACCGGUACCGCAGGUUCAAAUCCUGUUCUCUCCGCCA